rnacentral:tRNA from 1 species
ACUAGGAACCAGUUCGUAGGAACUAGGAACUAGUUUUUCGGAAACUAGACCGUAUGCGAGCCAUUGGUUCGCUUCCAAUCUCUAGUA